CAGGGGGAGCAAAUCAGUUCGGCCAGUAUUCUCGUUCAGCGCGGACGAUCCCGGAAUAGUUUACGAGACGUGGAACGCGUCACAAUUUUCAUUUCAGUCAUAAUAACAAUAAUAAUUGCAAUAAUAGGUCGCGACCGGCCGAGAGAAUGUGGGAUUGAGACAGAAGAGCAAAAGAAACACGAGUUUUUAAAAACUAUGGUAUCGUGGUGAUUCGAUAGUGUCUGUAAUUGUAGAUAAAAUAUCAGAGGGCGCGCAUGUUGUUCUGUCAAAGAUACAACCACUUGGAGAAGCAAAAGAUCAAGAUAAACUAGUAAAUGAAGUGCGACAAGAAAAAAAGCAACGAUUAUAAAAGUUUCCGAUUGAAAUUUCUCGUGCAAAACCUCUUAGAAUUUUGAUCCGAAAUAAUUUUGUUUUCAUCUGUGUAACGUUGAAAAAAAUAUUACAAAGAUAACGACAAAUUGUACAGACGACAGUGGAAUCGUCUGAAGGAGAGGAAAAAUAAUAGUGAAAACUUGGCUCAAGAAUCUAAAGUCAACCAUCGGUGCUCAGUAGUAUUCUUUUAUUCCGUCAGACGUCUCGAACCUUUUUCCAUACAUCCUCGUCCCCCUCUCUCUUCCUCUCCUCAUUUUCUAACUACGGUAUUACGAAAUAUCGAGGAUUUUACCGUUGCGAAGUUCCGAGUUGGUUCAUUAUUGGUUUCGAAAAAGUAAUAAAUAAAUCGUGAAUAGUUGAAAAAUAGCAAAAGCACAAGGAUUAAACGAAGAUGGAAGUGACGGAAGAGCCGACGAGCACAGAAGUGGAGACGAGCGACGGUCUCGUCGAGGAACCCGACGAUCAUGGCACAACCGUCGAAGAAGCUGAUGAUAAUGGUGCGACCGUCGAGGAAGAAUACGAAAUUACAACCACCAGACGAAAAACUGUUAGAACCAGUUACAAAAUUCAAGAGACAUCGGCAACCCACAAAACAACCACCAUGACAACCGCAGCAAAGCUGUAUGGCAAAGAUCUCAGCGAAUAUGACGAUGUGGACGUCGACGAACUUCUCGAUCAGCUUACGCCUGAAGAAAUCAACAUAUUGGCAAAAGAAGUUGAUCCCGAUGACAGUUUUAUGCCACCAUCGGAACGUUGCAGCUACGAGUGCGACAAGAGUCCAACGGGGCCGUUGAACCGCAAGAAACUCAUCGAGCACAUCAACAAACAAGCGUUAGAGACACCUGAUAUUCCUGAACUGAAGCCUUAUGUGCCCGGCGUCGUGAGAGGAAAGAAAUGGGUACCACCGCCGCAAGAUAACAUCAAAGAAAAAGAGGCUGAGGAGCAAAUAGCUAUCGAUCUCGGUGACGAGUACGAACACGCACUGUCUUCGGCUACUCAAGAAGAGAUCAUUGACCUUGCUGCCAUUCUUGGUUUUCACUCGAUGAUGAAUCAGGAUCAAUAUCAUGCGUCUCUCUUAAAUUCCGGCCAACCAGUUGGUAUGGGUUGGGAUGGUAUAACGAAAGCGAGUCAACCAAAAGUUUUUCCUAUGGAUCCACCAAACGAUACCGAUGUUGAUUCGACGAUUAGACAAGUCCGCGAGGAUGAUCAUACAUUAAUGGAUCUCAAUUGGAAUAACAUCAAAAAUAUUUCAGAAGAAAAGUUCCUACAGCUUUUCGAAGCCCUGGAAGUGAACACACACCUGGAAACGUUGAGCCUGACAAACGUUGGUCUUACCGACAGAACGGCACAAAGAUUGGCAGAAGCCAUGGAAAAGAAUUCGACUCUAAGAGUCCUCAAUGUUGAAACGAAUUUCAUUAGUCCAACUGUGAUGGUGAGGCUAAUAAGAGCGCUAUUGAAAACCAAAUCUAUCGAGGAAUUUCGAUGCUCAAAUCAGAGGUCGCAAGUGUUGGGUAACAAAAUCGAAAUGGAAAUCACGCAGCUGGUCGAACAAAAUCCAACGUUAUUGCGAUUGGGUUUGCACCUUGAGUUCAACGAUGCAAGACAUCGCGUUGCUGCUCAUCUGCAGCGUAAUAUCGACAGGAAUGGGAGCCAGUGUAUGGGAGAUUAUGACGACUAUAUGAGUAAAUACUCAUAGAAACAAAAAAUAUGAUAAAAACCGAAAAAAAAGUCUUCACAAAUCGCUUCGUAGUCUGAUAUAGAGCUUGUCAUCAACCAUUCAUCCAAAUCAUCCUGCUAUUGUUCACUCAUUUUUCUUAUCUAGCCUAGCGGCAUUGAGUUUGUCGUGUCGAAGCUUUGGAACGUGCCAAGACCGUUGCGAUCGGUGCUGGUCCCGCUGGCUUCACUGUUCUCCCUGCAGAUGCCUUUAAAGCUCGAACGUAGCCUUAAAAAAAAAAAAAAAAUGGUCAAAAAAAAACAAACGUACAAUUUAUAAAGAGCGCAGUGAGUAAAAUUAUCGUGACAUUUCCCAUCCCUCAAGUUUUAUUAAUUUCAUUUCAAAUUUACUAUUUGUUCUCGUGACAUUUAUACUUGUGAUAUUGUUAACAAGCUAAACACCUCGUUUCGACGAUGAUCGAGCCUCGAGGAGUAAUUUUAUCGCCCCCCUGACACUGUGCUCGAAAUUGCUCGUCGAUUUUUCAUGUUUUCGUGAAAUUUCUCCUUCCCGUUGAUUUUAUUUUUGUCCGUAAAUAAAAUAUUCUUAUACACUACACUCUCAGUUCACCACAGUUUUUACGAUCCGUAACAGAUUAUACAUAAAAAUACGUUACAGAUUAGUCGAAUAUAAGCGGAAACAGAAUCUCGUGGAGCGAGAUGGACUUUCAUCGAGCACGCAUUCUCCGCAUGAUUUAUUUUCUUUCACGCUUUCUUAUCUAUCACUUUUACCUCUCUCAGAGUCCCAUUUAUUUAUACUCAUUCCAACUCUUUCUGUUUCUACCUCUCUCUUUUUUCUUCUCUAUGUACAUAUCGACGAUUUUUCCGAAAAUUGCGUAACUCCUUUUCAUCUUAAUCGCUGUUAAUAAAAAAAAAAAAAAAAAAAAAAACAUUAAAAA
rnacentral:misc_RNA from 1 species